UGAAAAGUCUGAAAAACCCAGAAAGGUAAGACACUAUCUGUAAUCCUGUCAUUUAAAAAAAAUGACACGACAAAAUGAAAAUUCUCCACCCCGUGAGUAAUCACCAUGAACGGUUCAGUUAGCAUCUUCCUGACCUUUUACUGCUCUUCUUACUCCCAAGAAGAUGCUGGCGGUGCAGGUGGUUGGGGGUGCACUUAUGCAAAGCACCUGACAGCUUUUCGGGCAUCAGUAGCAGUAUCAUCUACUGAAAGGCAGUGCAGUUGCGAUGGGGCUGGAGCAGGAGCAUUACAGUCAGAAUGUACUUGAAGCAGUGAUCUAGAAACACAAAACUCUGUGCCCAGCACUAUGUGGGCCCCAAGUCCUUGUGAGAGUGCAGAUCCAGUGAUGGCCACGUCCUCUCAGGAAUUGGUUCACGUUGUAGCACUUUCCCGACAUGUGCACGUGGUGUUUUCCCGUUGGGUUGGGCUUGCUGUGGUGCCGAAGGGACACAGUGGGGAGGUGAGGAACCAUGGAUGGAAGCGAGCAUUCCACUUUUGUUUUUCCUCUCCUCGGCAGAUGAACACCUUGGAUGUGUUAACCAGCAUGGGGGCUAUCCCUGCAGGCUUCAGGCCUUCCACACUCUCCCAGCUGCUGGAGGAAGCCUGCCUGUCCUGCCUUCCCCUGCCACCACUGUGAGCAGCGCACCACAGUGCCACCAGACCAUCCCGUCCCAGCACAGUGCCA
rnacentral:lncRNA from 1 species